rnacentral:rRNA from 1 species
UUGUGCCUACGGGGGGCAGCAGUGAGGAAUAUUGGUCAAUGGCCGAGAGGCUGAACCAGCCAAGUCGCGUGAGGGAUGACGGCCCUACGGGUUGUAAACCUCUUUUGUCGGGGAGCAAGACCCGCCACGAGUGGCGGAGCGAGAGUACCCGGAGAAAAAGCAUCGGCUAACUCCGUGCCAGCAGCCGCGGUAAUACGGAGGAUGCGCGCGUUAUCCGGAUUUAUUGGGUUUAAAGGGCGCGCAGGCGGACCAUAACGUCAGCGGUAA